rnacentral:rRNA from 1 species
AUGAAAAGUUUAAAUGGCCGCAGUACCCUGACUGUGCUAAGGUAGCAUAAUCAAUUGGCCUUUAAUUGAGGUCUGGAAUGAACGGAUUAAUACGGAAGCUAACUGUCUCUUUUAGAAUUUGUUGAAGUUAUCUUUAAAGGUGAAAAGGCCUUUAUAUGUGAAAAUAGACGAGAAGACCCUAAGAGUUUUAAUUAUAGGUAAAGGUUUUUACUUUUUUUUUGCUGGGGCGGCAAGGAAACAAAUUAACUUUCUUGGUAAAAUUAACAAAGUUGACGCGAAAUUUUAUGAAGAGCUAAUAAACUACCUUAGGGAUAACAGCAUAAUUAUUUUAAUGUUUGUGACCUCGAUGUUGGACUAGGAAAGCUUUAAUGGCUAGCCGCCUAAAGUACUAUGUUCUGUUCGAACAC